rnacentral:tRNA from 3 species
CGAAGAAUAGUUUAAAGGAAAUAAAAUAUUAAUUUUGGAUAUUAAAGAUAUUGUUUUUCUUCGA